rnacentral:rRNA from 1 species
GGUUAAGCGACUAAGCGUACACGGUGGAUGCCUUGGCAGUCAGAGGCGAUGAAGGACGUGCUAAUCUGCGAUAAGCGCCGGUAAGGUGAUAUGAACCGUUAUAACCG